CCUACGGGAGGCAGCAGUGGGGAAUAUUGCACAAUGGGCGAAAGCCUGAUGCAGCAACGCCGCGUGAGCGAUGAAGGCCUUCGGGUCGUAAAGCUCUGUCCUCAAGGAAGAUAAUCACGGUACUUGAGGAGGAAGCCCCGGCUAACUACGUGCCAGCAGCCGCGGUAAUACGUAGGGGGCGAGCGUUAUCCGGAAUUACUGGGUGUAAAGGGUGCGUAGGUGGUUUCUUAAGUCAGAGGUGAAAGGCUAGGGCUCAACCGUAGUAAGCCUUUGAAACUGGGGAACUUGAGUGCAGGAGAGGAGAGUGGAAUUCCUAGUGUAGCGGUGAAAUGCGUAGAUAUUAGGAGGAACACCAGUUGCGAAGGCGGCUCUCUGGACUGUAACUGACACUGAGGCACGAAAGCGUGGGGAGCAAACAGGAUUAGAUACCCGAGUAGUC
rnacentral:rRNA from 1 species